UCUAAUGAAUGAAUAAGUAUUUAAUAAAAGAAACUUGGUAAGAGAUGCUUACUAGCCAUUUGAUAUUUGAAUUAAACAUUUAUGGGAUUAAAUAAUCUUAUGUUAUGUUUGGUAUUCUACAUUUAAAAUUUAGUAACUUAUCACAUGUUUGGUAUAGUAAAUUUUGAACGAGGUAUAAGAGUCAUUGUCUUGAGGUCCCAUAUUUGAUUUGCUAACCUGCCAUGGUGGAAUGGGAGAUGAAGCUCCUAAAGAGGGGGGGCUUUAGAGGAGAGAGAGAGAGAGUCCAUAGGAUAUUUAUACUUGAGGGGCAAAAUUGUCUAAUCAAACUAAAAAAUUAACCUACUAGGCAUAUAUAUAUAUAUAGAUAUAUAGGAUUAAAUGACAUUAAAGGAAGUGAGAUGGAUUUAUCCCAUGCUUAAGGGAUUGCUUUAUUAAUUUUUCAAAUACGGUAUAACCAUGUUAAGUAAUAAUAUUAUCACUUAAUUUUUUUAUUUAAUAGUCAUAUUACUUGUAAGAAUUUUACAAAAAUUAAGGUCAUAUAUGAAAGUAAAAAAGAAAUUAUAAUUCAUGUAAUUAACCCUAAGUAGAAAUAAAAGUUUAGUUGAAGACAAAAAAAAAAAAAAAAAACAGGAUAGAAAAAUUAAGAAUGAAGAAAUAAAAAAGUUAAAUCCUUCAUUAUGUCAAGACAUGAUGAAAAUGGGUAUUUUAGUGGGAGAUAUUUUGAUGAAGAGUGUGGCACACGCACUUGUAGAGGAGAGUGAAGUCAUGGUGGUUUGAUUACGUAUUCUUGGCUGAAGAUACUGCGCGCAUUAAGCACUUGUGUCAGGCCGUUCUAAAAAUAGCACAGGCUUUCCCCAACACCCCCCCCCCCCCCCCGGGUAGUCUUGCCUGUCCCCUCUUUCUUUCACCUUUCUUUUCUUUUCUUUUCACAUAUGUUUUACUCAUUAAACAAUUUUUAUUCGUUACGCAGAAUUGGCUUGUACCUUUUGUCGUUAACAGCAAGGCUUAUGUAACUAACUUUCUAAUUAAAGCCCUAAACUUCCCACUUUUAGAUAACCACCUCCCAUCAUUAGCAUAAUAGAAUUCCAUUAUGAUUCUGUUGUUUUCCACCGUUGUGGGCAAUUCUCAUGUACAAUCAUCGUCACCCAGAAAAGGGUGGCAACGCAAUCAGAAAUAGAUUCAAUUUCAUUAUCCUGUAGCCUUUACCGUCAAGUCGAGAAUUCGGUGGCUUGUCAUCCAAUUAUAUUGAUAUUUCUGUUGUCUGAAAUUUGGCCUUGACAGUGAAAGAAAAGCUCUUUGCUUUGAGCUCAAAUGAGAGACACUUUGGCCAUUUAAGCUGGCUGAAUUGACAAUUAGCCUUAGGCCGGUCAAUUACCCGUCCAAAUUAAGAUUUUUUUUUUUUCCUUUUAUUUGGAUUGGCCACUGUUUUUGACCACUAUUUCUAGCUAGUUGCCUUAGCAUGUUCUUUGGAUCACAAAAUCGUUGUCAAGGGCGUUUAGUGGUUAAAAACGGACAAAUAAUUUGAAACUUUGAGACAACAAACGACAUGGCCAUGUUUAUGUGCUAAAUGUCGUUUACAUUCGCAGUCUUUGUAAUAAGAUAUCGUUGUUAAUAGCAGUUUAGUGGUUAAAAAUGGACAUGUAAAAAUGAUUGAAUUAUACCAUUUUUGGGUGCUAAUCAUCCUUAUAGUACCUUAAGCAUUAGUCUGAACUUUAAUUAGACAAAGAUUCCUACUGGUGUUGGCCAUGGCUUGCUUACAUAUCUGUGGCUUAAUAUGAUUUGACUUUAUACACACACACACACACACACACACUCUCACUCUUGAUGCUGCUCUAGCUUAUUUGCUCUAAAAUGUUUGAAGCGUGAAGCAGUACUGGAGGGUAGCUGAUGUAAUUUGGGGUGGUGGGAACAAGUCCAGAGAGGAUGAAGGCUACUUCCAUUAUCACCAAUGGGACCUUCACCUCCCAAUCUCCCUCUACUUUAUUAAUGUGCACUGAACAAAGUGACAGAUUUGGACAACCAUUCCAUGCCAACAACUGACCACACAGUGGGGGAGAUGGAGAUAUCUGCAAAGAUUCACAAUGAUAUUAACUAAUGAUGAAGGUUUUGAAGAAUCUGGUGGGCAUGUAAGUAUAUGGUUAAUGCAGUCAAUAUGGAAAAUGAUUAGGGUGAGGGAAGCUGUUCCAUAUCAUUGAUUAGUUCAUAAUUCUUGAAUGUGGUUUCCUACAACUGUAAAGAUGCUGGAAACCCCCUUCAAGAUCCCAAUCAUAUUUGAUUGAAUUGAAUUCAACCUAAACAAAACUUUAUGUAUUUUGAGGGGGCCAGCUGUACUCUUCUAAGGGCUGUUUGGCUGUUGCUCUGCACCUUCUGGAGAUUUGGAAAUUUUUUUUUUUUGAAGUGUUUGUCUAGAAAAUACCAUCAACAAGACGGUGCAGUAUAAUAUUUUUUUUUGUAAAUGGUGACACCUUUUAAAGGUUUUUGAAAUGCACAACUGCCCGUUUGGUAUUACUAUAAUUUUUUUUUGACUGUGGAUUCAUUUUUUUGAAUUUCUCGUUACAUGACUAGUGUAAUAACCCGCUUUUAUCAUCUUAGGUAGUGUUUGUUAA